ensembl:lncRNA
UGCUGCAGUGUGUAGCCGACAUGAACAACAUUUUGUGAUGGUUAGAAUAACAUUGUCUUCUGCUGAAGCAAAACAAUGGCUUAAAGGGGACAUAUUAUACCACCAGAUGUGUGUGGGAUUGGCCUUACAAGACGUUUUUGAUCAGCUCUGUGCUGCAUCUGUUUCUUGAGUCUGACCAUUUAUUAGCCAUCAGUGAGAAGAUCCUCUCUACCAAGGCAUUUGAGCCUGGCACACUGAGCACAAAUGAGACGAUUUUGAACAGCUUCUUAACAAGUAGAUCGAAAACACAUCCCACAUUGUGGAAAAAGCACAGAUAUAUCUCAGCUUUGUCUGUGUUAACUUCCUCCUCAAACGUUUUCCUCAAUGCCACUGGACAGUUCUCCCCAAGGGACCUGAAAUAUGAGGGGCGCGGCUCCUCCACCAGCUCUCCUCAGCCCAGGGCUCCCGGUCACUGGGGAACACAGCGGGGCUACUUUCUUAUUCUUUGGACACCUUGUUUAAAUAAUGCUGAAAAAAAGCGCUUGCUUGAAUGUAGAAGAUAGCAUAGAACAUUAAUUUCAUAUUUUAAACUUCGACAUGAAACAUGCACACUCUUGGGAAUUAGAAAUUCAGG